UCUGAGGUUGAGCCAAAGGAGCAUGAGAAAGCAUGUGGUUCUUAUAAGCCCAUAUCACAUGUAGCAUGCUGGGGAUUUCAAAAAAGCAGGCAUUCUCCAGACUUGAAUUAACUCCUGCUUCUUCCCAGAGCAGCCAUUUCCUCAUAGACUCGGAUGGAAUCAAACCAGGAAGCUCUAAGCAGCAUGAAAGCUCUCAAAUGUGACCUUCCACUCAACAUGAAAAUGAUGAGUAUGAAGACCUUUAUGAUGAUCGACAUGGCACUUAAUACAUAAGAGAGAGGUUCGCUCUUGUUGCCUAGGCUGGAGGGCAAUGGCGCGAUCUCGGCUCACCACAACCUCCGCCUCCCGGGUUCAAGCGAUUCUCCUGCCUCACCCUCGCGAGUAGCUGGGAUUACAAGCGUGCACCUCCAUGCCCAGGU
rnacentral:lncRNA from 10 species